CCCUAGCCCUGAUGGGAGCGGCAUCCUUUUGUUUUUUUCUUUAAAAAACAAAAGAUACAGCGGACAGCAGGAAACAGC
rnacentral:sRNA from 1 species